rnacentral:rRNA from 1 species
UACGUAGGGUGCGAGCGUUAUCCGGAAUUAUUGGGCGUAAAGGGCUCGUAGGCGGUUUGUCACGUCGGGAGUGAAAACUCGGGGCUUAACCCCGAGCCUGCUUCCGAUACGGGCUGACUAGAGGUAUGCAGGGGAGAACGUAAUUCCUGGUGUAGCGGUGAAAUGCGCAGAUAUCAGGAGGAACACCGGUGGCGAAGGCGGCAUCCUGGGCCGGUAUUGACGCUGAGGAGCGAAAGCCAGGGGAGCAAACGGG